rnacentral:tRNA from 1 species
AUUAUAAUGCCUGAUUAAAGGGUUAAUUUGAUAGAUUAAAUAAUGAAAAAUUUUAUUAAGAUU